GAUCUCUUCCUGGAGAUUGCUCCUUGUGGAGUUUCUGUGAGCCUACAACACUGUGGACCCAGUAAAUGGGACUGGCUGCUGCAACCUGCUGGUGGCACUUGAGACAAGCUGUGGGGCAGUGGGAGCCCACUGUGGGGAGUGGGAAAUAGCUCUGGGCUCCCCAUGAAGUCAAUACCUGGCAGCAGCUUCACUGCAGGCACAGCACAACCAAGUCCAGCUCCUGCACUUCCCAACUGCAUCAUCAUAAGCUUCAGCACUGGACCAAUCCUGAAGGGGAAAAUGAAGAGGGCUGGCUGGUUUACAGAUGGAUGAACUCAUUGAGAACCCUAGCACCUGAGCCCUGAGUUCAAUUUAAUAUUGUAGCCUACAGCACUUUGCAGCUACUGCAUGCAACCUCAUGACAAGAAUUACUGAAGGAAGGUCUCUGCAAUGAAGGAGCCAAACGUCUUCUGUUCCUUGCAGUAGAAAUGGCAAACAUCCAGGAGCAGAGAUGGUCGGGGUCUCCAGCCCUGGCUGGCUGUUACAGUGAGCAUCCAGGGAAAGAAGUUUUCUGCUGACCUGUGAUCAAGGGAAAUGAAAGAUGAGAGAAGAUAAAUCAAAUCUAUGUCUUGUCUAUCCAACUCUUGCUCCAUAUGCAAUGAUAAACUUUCAGGCCAAAUAAAGGAAAAUCUGAAGCAAGCCUAAGGAAGACCAAGGAAGUGCCUGAGGAAGAUCUCCCUUUGGCAACAGGUCUCAUGGUCUGAGAAAAAGACAGCAGACAAAAAUGCAUUUUUUUGGUAACUGCGAAGAAAGGCAGAGUGUUUUCGAACAGCACAGCAUGAGUUAACCCUCUUAUCACCUGCUGCCAAAUGCGCUCAUGCAUCUUUGGUACAAUGCCAAGCAGAUGCAUUCAGAUUCUUUGUAAGACUGAGGUACCAAACCUGUACUUCACACUGUGAGUGAGCAACAACACAUUGUUGCAUGGAGCAAUAACACAUUACUGCAGGCGGGAUUUGGUGAGAAUCUGUGUAAGAUUGCUUUUGCAGAGGCCACUUGCACAAAAGCCUCUGCUGCAGCAACAUUGUCUUCCAUCUUGAUCUUCUAGAAAUAAAAAAAAAGAAAGGUUUACAAAAUUACUGUGUCUUGCCUGUGAAAGAUGAAUCAUAGUGCUUUUCAAUAGAGCUGCAGGUUGUCAGGGGACCCUC